rnacentral:rRNA from 1 species
CCUACGGGUGGCAGCAGUAGGGAAUCUUCCACAAUGGACGAAAGUCUGAUGGAGCAACGCCGCGUGAGUGAAGAAGGGUUUCGGCGCGUAAAGCUCUGUUGGUAGUGAAGAAAGAUAGAGGUAGUAACUGGCCUUUAGUUGACGGUAAGGACGGAGAAAGUCACGGCUAACUACGUGCCAGCAGCCGCGGUAAUACGUAGGUGGCAAGCGUUGUCCGGAGUUAUUGGGCGUAAAGCGAGUGCAGGCGGUUCAAUAAGUCUGAUGUGAAAGCCUUCGGCUCCACCGGAGAAUUGCAUCAGAAACUUUUGAACUUGAGUGCAGACGCGGCGAGUGGACCUCCCUGUGUAGCGGUGUAAUGCGUAGAUAUAUGG